GUCGAAGGGAGAAAUUCAUUCGUAUGACACGUUCGGCGAACUAUAGAAGUUUUGGACGUUAAAACAAGUUUUCUUGUUAUUCGCCAUCUUUUUUAUUCGAUCUGAACGUGAACGCGUGCACUUUUCUUCUGGUAGGACGUCGCGAUCCGUUGGGCGUACGGUCUAUGGGUAACGAUGUUGACCGAAAAUACGUACGAUUUUCGAAUCGGACGAUUUGAUUUUCGGACUCGUAACUUCUGACCGACACACCCGACGGUACAAUAAGAAAUGGUAUAAAGCCGCCUAUAUAAAGGCGUUAGAGUCUUAACAAAUAUUUCACUAGUGAAACGUUGAUUGAAAAUUUUUCGAUUACGUUCCUUUGAAAUAUUGUUAGUUGGGAAUAAUCUCUGACAGACUUUUACCGAUCGGCGACGCUAUAGCUUUGGGUACUUUCAGGACCCGUCUUGAAACACGGACCAAGGAGUCUAGCAUGUGCGCAAGUCAUUGGGAUUUAAUACGAAACCUAAAGGCGUAAUGAAAGUAAAUACAUUUCUCUAUAUUUAUUAUAGAACGAAAUCGUUUUAGGGAAGAUGAAUUUGUAUAUUCUUGGACGUUAUUAUUAACACGUUUAAUUUGCGUCUAUUUAUAAAAGAAUAUCGUUCCGCAUUCCCGGGGCGUUUAGUUCUCGUAUAAUAUUCUUAUUAUGCGAGUUUAGGCGCACCAAAAGCGUACACGCUGGGACCCGAAAGAUGGUGAACUAUGCCUGGUCAGGACGAAGUCAGGGGAAACCCUGAUGGAGGUCCGCAGCGAUUCUGACGUGCAAAUCGAUCGUCGGAAC
rnacentral:rRNA from 1 species